AGAGUUUGAUCCUGGCUCAGGACGAACGCUGGCGGCACGCUUAACACAUGCAAGUCGAACGAGAGAAGAGGAGCUUGCUUUUCUGAUCUAGUGGCGGACGGGUGAGUAACACGUGAGCAAUCUGCCUUUCAGAGGGGGAUACCGAUUGGAAACGAUCGUUAAUACCGCAUAACAUAAUUGAACCGCAUGAUUUGAUAUCAAAGAUUUAUCGCUGAAAGAUGAGCUCGCGUCUGAUUAGCUAGUUGGUAAGGUAACGGCUUACCAAGGCGACGAUCAGUAGCCGGACUGAGAGGUUGAUCGGCCACAUUGGGACUGAGACACGGCCCAGACUCCUACGGGAGGCAGCAGUGGGGAAUAUUGCACAAUGGAGGAAACUCUGAUGCAGCGAUGCCGCGUGAGGGAAGAAGGUUUUAGGAUUGUAAACCUCUGUCUUCAGGGACGAAAAAAGACGGUACCUGAGGAGGAAGCUCCGGCUAACUACGUGCCAGCAGCCGCGGUAAUACGUAGGGAGCGAGCGUUGUCCGGAAUUACUGGGUGUAAAGGGAGCGUAGGCGGGAUCGCAAGUCAGAUGUGAAAACUAUGGGCUUAACCCAUAAACUGCAUUUGAAACUGUGGUUCUUGAGUGAAGUAGAGGUAAGCGGAAUUCCUAGUGUAGCGGUGAAAUGCGUAGAUAUUAGGAGGAACAUCAGUGGCGAAGGCGGCUUACUGGGCUUUAACUGACGCUGAGGCUCGAAAGCGUGGGGAGCAAACAGGAUUAGAUACCCUGGUAGUCCACGCCGUAAACGAUGAUUACUAGGUGUGGGGGGACUGACCCCUUCCGUGCCGCAGCAAACGCAAUAAGUAAUCCACCUGGGGAGUACGACCGCAAGGUUGAAACUCAAAGGAAUUGACGGGGGCCCGCACAAGCAGUGGAGUAUGUGGAUUAAUUCGAAGCAACGCGAAGAACCUUACCAGGUCUUGACAUCGUAUGCAUAGCUCAGAGAUGAGUGAAAUCUCUUCGGAGACAUAUAGACAGGUGGUGCAUGGUUGUCGUCAGCUCGUGUCGUGAGAUGUUGGGUUAAGUCCCGCAACGAGCGCAACCCUUACUGUUAGUUGCUACGCAAGAGCACUCUAGCAGGACUGCCGUUGACAAAACGGAGGAAGGUGGGGAUGACGUCAAAUCAUCAUGCCCCUUAUGACCUGGGCCUCACACGUACUACAAUGGCUGUCAACAGAGGGAAGCAAAGCCGCGAGGUGGAGCGAACCCCUAAAAGCAGUCUUAGUUCGGAUUGUAGGCUGCAACCCGCCUACAUGAAGUCGGAAUUGCUAGUAAUCGCAGAUCAGCAUGCUGCGGUGAAUACGUUCCCGGGCCUUGUACACACCGCCCGUCACGCCAUGGGAGUCGGUAACACCCGAAGCCUGUAGUCUAACCGCAAGGAGGACGCAGUCGAAGGUGGGAUUGAUGACUGGGGUGAAGUCGUAACAAGGUA
rnacentral:rRNA from 1 species